GAUGAAGAACGCAGCGAAAUGCGAUACGUAAUGUGAUUUGCAGAAUUCAGUGAAUCAUCGAGUCUUUGAACGCACAUUGCGCCCCCUGGUAUUCCGGGGGGCAUGCCUGUCCGAGCGUCAUUGCUGCCCUCAAGCACGGCUUGUGUGUUGGGCCUCCGUCCUCCUCCCGGGGGACGGGCCCGAAAGGCAGCGGCGGCACCGCGUCCGGUCCUCGAGCGUAUGGGGCUUCGUCACCCGCUCUUGUAGGCCCGGCCGGCGCUUGCCGACACAUCAAUCUUUUUUCCAGGUUGACCUCGGAUCAGGUAGGGAUACCCGCUGAACUUAAGCAUAUCAUAAGCGGAGGA
rnacentral:misc_RNA from 1 species